rnacentral:misc_RNA from 1 species
UCCGGCUUAUCACCGGCAGUCCCCCUAGAGUGCCCAACUAAAUGAUGGCAACUAAGGGCGAGGGUUGCGCUCGUUGCGGGACUUAACCCAACAUCUCACGACACGAGCUGACGACAGCCAUGCAGCACCUGGACAUCCAGUUCCCUUGCGGGCACAUCCUCAUCUCUGAGGACUUCUGGAGGGUUCCAACCCAGGUAAGGUUCUUCGCGUUGCGUCGAAUUGAACCACAUGCUCCACCGCUUGUGCGGGCCCCCGUCAAUUCCUUUGAGUUUCAACCUUGUGGUCGUACUCCCCAGGCGGGGUACUUCCUGCGUUAGCGCCGGCACCCAGAGGGUCGCUCCCCCAGGCACCUAGUACCCAUCGUUUACGGCGUGGACUAC